GACAGAGGGUGCAAACGUUGUUCGGAAUUACUGGGCGUAAAGCGCGUGUAGGCGGCCAUGCAAGUCGGAUGUGAAAGCCCUCGGCUCAACCGGGGAAGUGCACUCGAAACUGCAAGGCUAGAGUCUCGGAGAGGAUCGUGGAAUUCUCGGUGUAGAGGUGAAAUUCGUAGAUAUCGAGAGGAACACCUGCGGCGAAGGCGGGUUGCUGGGCUGACACUGACGCUGAAGCGCGAAAGCUAGGGGAGCGAACGGG
rnacentral:rRNA from 1 species